rnacentral:rRNA from 1 species
GGCUCCCUGUUUUUUUUAUAUAGGGAGUCAGACCUGCCCGGUGAAUUUUUUUAACGGCCGCGGUACUCUGACCGUGCAAAGGUAGCAUAAUCAUUUGCCUUAUAAUUGGAGGCUUGUAUGAAUGGUUCGACAAGAGUGUAGCUGUCUCUUUAUAAUUAAUUAGAAUUUUAUUUAUAGGUGAAGAAGCCUAUAUUUUAUUGAUAGACAAGAAGACCCUAUCGAGCUUUAAAUUAGUUAAUAAAAUUGAAAUUUAAUAUAGAUUAAAAAACUAGUUGUUUUAUAUUUUGGUUGGGGCGACUUAGGAACAAAUGAAGCUUCCUAUAUUUUUUUAAACAGACAAGUGGUGAUCCAAAAAGUUUGAUUAAAGAAAUUAGUUACCGUAGGGAUAACAGCAUAAUCUUUUUUGAGAGCUCUAAUCGAAAAAAAGGUUUGUGACCUCGAUGUUGGACCAGAAUAUCCUAAAGAUGCAGCCGUCUUUAAGGGUUGGUCUGUUCGACCAUUAAAAUUCUACGUGAUCUGAGUUCAGACCGGCGUGAGCCAGGUCAGUUUCUAUCUUCAAUUUACCUAAUGGGCUUAGUACGAAAGGACCAGCUUAUUACAAAUAGUAUUGUUAAAUUUGAAAUAAUAUAAAAAACUAUUUAAUUACUACUUAUAAUCAUUUAUUGUAUCAAAUUAGCAAAGUUAAUGCAAUUGACUUAGGAUCAAUAGACAUAGGUGAAAUUCCUUUAUUUGAUAUUCUUUAAUAUAAAGGUGGCAGAUAUAA